rnacentral:rRNA from 1 species
AAAGAGCUAAAUGAUUAAUAAAGUUAUUGUAGCAAAAUUAUUUUAAAUAAUCAUUUAGAAAUGAAAUGUUCUUCGUUUUUAAAUAUAUCUAGUUUUUUUAGAAAAAAAUUUAAUUUUGAAAUUAAUUUUAAUAAAAAUUAAUUAAUUAAUUUUUAUUAAGUUAAUUUUAAUAAUUUAAGGGAUAAGCUUUAAAUUAAAUAUUUAUAAUAAUUGUAUUUAUAUUUUUAAAAAUUUUAUAAUUUAUAUUGUUAAUAAAUUUUAUUUUAUUAUAAAUAAUUUUAAAAUAAAAAAAAUUUAAUAUUAUUUUAUUUAAUUUUUUAUAAAAAUAUUAUUUUUAAUUAUGAAAAAUUAGAAAUAAUGAUAAAAUUAGUAUAUUUAUUAUAAAAUUAAUUAAAAAUUAAUUUAUUAUUAAUUUAAUUAAUAAAAAGGAAUUCGGCAAAUAUUUAUGUUCACUUGUUUAACAAAAACAUGUCUUUUUGAUUUAAUUUAAAGUCUAAUCUGCCCACUGAUUUUAUAUUAAAGGGCUGCAGUAUUUUGACUGUACAAAGGUAGCAUAAUCAUUAGUCUCUUAAUUGGUGACUAGAAUGAAAGAUUGGAUGAAAUAUAUACUGUCUCUUUAUUAAUUUAUAGAAUUUAAUUUUUUAUUUAAAAAGUUAAAAUAAAUUAAAAAGACGAGAAGACCCUAUAGAGUUUUAUAAUUAUAUUUAUAAUUAAUUAUUUAUUAAUUAAUAAAUUAUUAUAAGUAUAAUUAUUUUAUUGGGGUGAUAAAAAAAUAAGUUUAACUUUUUUCUAUUAUUAACAUAAAUAAGUGAAUAUAUUGAUCCAAUUUUAUUGAUUAUAAGAUUAAAUUACCUUAGGGAUAACAGCGUAAUUUUUUUUUUUAGUUCAAAUAAGAAAAAGAGUUUGCGACCUCGAUGUUGGAUUAAGAUAAAAUUUAAAUGCAAAAGUUUAAAAUUUUG